rfam:Dehalobacter sp. CF, complete genome.
GAAGUCAACCGGAUGGUCGCGGGGACAAGUGCCGAAAGGCCGUCUCUGAGGAAAGUCCGAGCUCCGCAGGGCAGGGUGCCGGGUAACGCCCGGCGGGGGGAGAAUCCCUUCGAGGAAAGUGCAACAGAGAUAUACCGCCGCUGCCAAGCGGUAAGGGUGGAAAGGUGAGGUAAGAGCUCACCGGCAGUCAGGUAACUGGCUGGCCCUGCAAACCCCACCUGGAGCAAGACCAAAUAGAGGAACGAUGGAGCUGCCCGCUCUGUUCCCGGGUAAGGUCGCUUGAGACUGUCGGUAACGACAGUCCUAGAUAGAUGAUCAUCACCUCGCAAGAGGUACAGAACUCGGCUUAUAGGUUGACUUCGCUU